rnacentral:rRNA from 1 species
UCGCAUCUGUGCAUGCAGCAUAUCAAUAAGCGGAGGAAAAGGAACUAACAAGGAUUCCCUUAGUAACGGCGAGUGAAGCGGGAGAGCUCAGAUUUGAAAUCUUCAAGGUUUUACCUUGACGAAUUGUAGUUUAAAGAAGUGUUUUCUGUUGAAGUUUUGGUAAAAGUUCUUUGGAAUAGGGCAUCAUAGAGGGUGAGAAUCCCGUAUUUGACCAUUAUUUUCAGCUGUGUGAUACACUUUCAAAGAGUCGGAUUGUUUGGGAAUGCAGUCCAAAAUGGGUGGUAAAUUUCAUCUAAAGCUAAAUAUUGGCGAGAGACCGAUAGCGAACAAGUACCGUGAGGGAAAGAUGAAAAGAACUUUGAAAAGAGAGUUAAACAGUACGUGAAAUUGUCAAAAGGGAAGCGUUUGACACCAGUGUUGGUUUCUCGAAAAUCAAUUAAAAAGAGUUAGAUUUUGUUGUGUAUUGACCUUAACAGCUUGCAUUUCAAUUUUCUUGCUUUUUUUAAUGCACUUUUCGUUUAACAAGUCAACAUCAGUUUCUUUUGUUGUAAAAAGGUCAUUGGAAGGUGGCUUUCUUUUCGGAGAAAGUGUUUAUAGCCUUUGACUCCUGCAAUCGGAGAGACUGAGGUCUGCAGCGUAGAUCCUUCGGGGUUAGAUACAUUUGUGCUAAGUUAUAGCUUUUUAUAGACAACUUGUUGACUAUGAUUAGUCUUGUAGCUUACUCGCUUAUGCUAUUUUACCUACGCUUAGGAUGUUGACGCGCGUGUGUGCGUG